rnacentral:rRNA from 1 species
AGAACGAACGCUGGCGGCAUGCCUAACACAUGCAAGUCGAACGAGACCUUCGGGUCUAGUGGCGCACGGGUGCGUAACGCGUGGGAAUCUGCCCUUCGGUUCGGAAUAACUCAGGGAAACUUGAGCUAAUACCGGAUAAUGACUUCGGUCCAAAGAUUUAUCGCCGAGGGAUGAGCCCGCGUAGGAUUAGCUUGUUGGUGAGGUAAAAGCUCACCAAGGCGACGAUCCUUAGCUGGUCUGAGAGGAUGAUCGAGCCACACGUGGACUGACGACACCGGACCCAGACCUCCGUACGGGAGGCAGCAGGUGGGAAUGUAGGACAGUGGGACGAAACGCUAGACU